rfam:Aedes aegypti strain Liverpool supercont1.76 genomic scaffold, whole genome shotgun sequence.
GUUGCAGCAACAUGCUUUUUCGUGUCAUUAAAUAAAAACAAGAUUUCAUUAAACAUUUAAGGACCCAAUUGCCCCAUUCUUCCAGGUCAUCGUCGGCGGAAUGGUGUUUGUCUAUGCCAUCAACUGCGGCAAACGGAAGCACCACAGGAACUACAA